CUAAUACCGCAUACGAUCUAUGGAUGAAAGGCGGGGGGAUUCGCAAGACCUCGCGCGAUUGGAGCGGGCCGAUAUCAGAUUAGGUAGUUGGUGAGGUAAAGGCUCACCAAGCCGACGAUCUGUAGCUGGUCUGAGAGGACGACCAGCCACACUGGGACUGAGACACGGCCCAGACUCCUACGGGAGGCAGCAGUGGGGAAUUUUUGGACAAUGGGCGCAAGCCUGAUCCAGCAAUGCCGCGUGCAGGAUGAAAGGCCUUCGGGUUGUAAACUGCUUUUGUACGGAACGAAACGGUGAGCUCUAAUACAGUUUGCUAAUGACGGUACCGUAAGAAUAAGCACCGGCUAACUACGUG
rnacentral:rRNA from 1 species